GCCAGCAGCCAUAUCACCUGCAACUCACAGCUGGCAGCCCACUGAAGCUCAGCAGGUGUGAGCCUGGUCAGUACCCGGAUGGGAGACCUCCUGGGAAAAACUAAGGUUGCUGCUGGAA
rfam:Lepisosteus oculatus linkage group LG6, whole genome shotgun sequence.